GAAAGCCUGACCUCAAUAACCUGGCCAUUUUUCCAGACGGAUGCUAAAAAAUAUAUUAAAAAAGAACAUACGUUAUCAGCCGGACAUCCCGGAGGUGCGUUUGCAAUUUGUUUGCUGGUUGACAGCUUCAUUUUGUUAAUAGAGAGACAAGGGGUCUUAAAAGCCAGAGGACCCCUGCAGAUGGGCCUUGCAUCAGCCAAAGGGGAUGCUGGCACAACCAACACCCCCCCCACACAGACAAAAAAACUGUUUGAUAGAGGAGAUGCGUUUAAGUCGGGGAAAGCAGAAUGCCAUGCCUCUUAGCGAUGCCUUUGAUCAAUCAGAAGAGAGGCCUAAUGGAGGCUUAAUUUAAUGAAACCUAUUGGGUAAACAGACCCUCCAUCUUCAAAGGUACCGCCAAAGUCUUUUUCUACCAUCGGGAGGCUAUGUCCACAGACAUCUGAGUCCCUCUAAAUGCACUCGACAUCUAUUUUGGCUGAGCUCAGACUGCAUGGACUGUAGGUGACAACUGAGAGAUGGGCAUAAUACAUUUAUAAACUGUAGAUAUUUGAAUGUUGAGCAUAGUGUUUUCCCUUAAAGUGGCUAUGAUCUAAAAUGCCUCAGUGGGUAGCCUAUAAUCGGACCAAUAGCAAGCUUGACAAUGCAUGAGUGCCACAUUUACAAUACUUUAGGUUUGAGAAUAUACAUUGAGAAUGAAGAUUUUAGACCUUUUUUGGGAUUUCAGUGUGCCAUAGUGUCCAACUAGAGGAGCUGUCUUCCCUUUUUGCAGACACCAGAUGGCGAUGUUGCUCAAGGAAUUCGGCCCUCUGAAUUAUCUGGUUGAGAGUUUGAACCAUCCAUAAGUUCAACAGUCCCUUCACGGUGGAUUUUACAUUGAGGAGUCAAGACGAUCUCGUUUUCUCGUCCAGUUUAUGUCACUGGUCGAGCGUGACAAACACUUUAAAAAAAACAUUAUUUUUUUUAGGCUGAAUGGCUUCAAGUCUCUCUAUCCAGGGAGAUAAUUGAUGUAUGUCUGAAGCUUUUACGGAGUCAACCAGCCUUGAAAUAAUGAACAAUUGAAUCACCUGAUACAGUCAGAUGAAUGGAAUAAAAAGCGUUCUUCUGCACCGA